rnacentral:rRNA from 1 species
UACGGAGGGGGCUAGCGUUGUCCGGAAUUACUGGGCGUAAAGCGCACGUAGGCGGCUUUGUAAGUUAGAGGUGAAAGCCCGGGGCUCAACUCCGGAAUUGCCUUUAAGACUGCAUCGCUAGAAUUGUGGAGAGGUAAGUGGAAUUCCGAGUGUAGAGGUGAAAUUCGUAGAUAGUUCGGAAGAACACCAGUGGCGAAGGCGACUUACUGGACACAUAUUGACGCUGAGGUGCGAAAGCGUGGGGAGCAAACAGG